AUAUUUACCUGGUGGAAGAGAUACCAUGAUCACGAAGGUGGUUUUCCAGGGCGAGGCUUACCCACUGCACUCUGGGUAUGCUGACCCCUGUGAUUUCCCAAAAUGUGGGAAACUCGACUGCAUAAUUCAUGGUAGUGGACUGCAUUCAUGCUUUCCCCU
ensembl:snRNA U1 U1 spliceosomal RNA